rnacentral:rRNA from 2 species
UAUAAUUUAAAGUAGGGCCUGCCCACUGAAUAUAAUUUGAAGGGCCGCAGUAUUUUGACUGUGCAAAGGUAGCAUAAUCAUUAGUUUUUUAAUUGAAAGCUUGUAUGAAUGGUUUGAUGAGAAAAUUUCUUUCUAUAUUUAAUUUUUAAAUAAUUUUAUUUUUAAGUUAAAAAGCUUAAAUAUUAAUAAAAGACGAGAAGACCCUAUAGAGUUUAAUAUAAUUUAAUAUUUAAAAAUUUAGAAUUUAUUAUUAUAUAAUAUUAUCUUUUAUUUGAUUGGGGUGAUUAAAAAAUUAAAAUAACUUUUUUUUAAAAAAAACAUUAAUUUAUG